CCUACGGGGGGCAGCAGUGGGGGAUAUUGCACAAUGGGGGGAACCCUGAUGCAGCGACGCCGCGUGAAGGAAGAAGUAUCUCGGUAUGUAAACUUCUAUCAGCAGGGAAGAAAAUGACGGUACCUGACUAAGAAGCCCCGGCUAACUACGUGCCAGCAGCCGCGGUAAUACGUAGGGGGCAAGCGUUAUCCGGAUUUACUGGGCGUAAAGGGCGCGUAGGCGGGAACUUAAGUUAGAUGUGAAAACUCCGGGCUC
rnacentral:rRNA from 1 species